rnacentral:rRNA from 1 species
AAUGAACGCUGGCGGCGUGCCUAAUACAUGCAAGUCGAGCGAACAGACGAGGAGCUUGCUCGUCUGACGGUAUCGGCGGACGGGUGAGUAACACGUGGAUAGCCUACCUAUCAGACUGGGGUGACUUCAGGAAACCAUAUCUAAUGCCGAAUAAUAUAUUGCCCCGGGUUGUUCAAUAGUUAGAUUCGGUUUUUCGUACGCUUAUAGAUGAAUACGGGUCGCAUUAGCUAGUGGGUAAGGUGGCGGCUUAACAACGCUGCGAUGCGAAGCCGCCCUGAGCGGGUGAUUCGCCACACGGGAACUGAGACACGGCCCAGACUCUUACGGGAGGCAGCGGUAGGGAAUCUUACGGAAGGGGCGAGUGCCUGACGGAGCACAGCCGCGUGAGGGAUGAUGGUCUUAGGAUGCGAGAACUAUGUUAGUCGGGAAGAAGAAAUGCGCAAUUACCUAGGCACGUCAUGACGGUACCUGAAGAAAAAGCCACGGCUAACUACGUG